AAAGUGCUGGGAAUACAGGCGUGAGCCACCGUGCCUGGCCAUAGCCAUCUCUUUCUUUUUUUUUCCUUUUUUCUUUCUCUCUCUCUCUCUCUUUCUUUCUUUUUCACAAGAACAGUAAGUCUUUUAUUUAUUUAUUUAGGUUACAUGAGUAAAUUCUUUAGUGGCGGUUUCUAAGAUUUUGGUGCACCCAUCACCUGAGCAGUGUACACUGUACCCAGUGUGCAGUUCCCUAUCCUUUACCCGCUUCCACCCUUCCCCAAGACUCCAAAGUUGAUUGCAUCAUUCUUAUGCCUUUGUGUCCUCAUAGCUUAGCUCCCAAAGGUAUCUCUUAGUGUAUUUCCCACCCUAGGCAGCCCCUGGUCUUUCUCUCCUGUGUCUUAUGUCCCUUGGGGUGUAAAAACAGGAACUUUGAAUGUCAUGUUGCGGGAAGUCAGGGACCCUGAAUGGAGGGACCAGCUGCAGCCGUGGCAGAGGAACAUAAAUUGUGAAGAUUUCAUGGACAUUUAUUAGUUCCCCAAAUUAAUACUUUUAUAACUUCUUAUGCCUGUCUUUACUGUAAUCUCUGAACAUAAAUUGUGAAGAUUUCAUGGACAUUUAUCACUUCCCCAAUCAAUACUCUUAUAAUUUCCUAUGCCUGUCUUUACUUUAAUCUCUUAAUCCCAUUAUCUUCAUAAGCUGAGGAUGUAUGUCACCUCAGGACCCUGUGGUGAUUGCGUUAACUGCAUAAAUUGUUCAUAAAGCAUGUGUGUUUGAACAAUAUGGAAUCUGGGCACUUUGAAAAAAGAACAGGAUAACAGCAAUGUUCAGGGAACAAGGAAGAUAACCAUUAGGUCUGACUGCCUGAGAGCUGGGCAGGACAGAGUCAUAUUUCUCUUAUUACUGAAAACAGGUAAGAGAAAUAUUGCUGAAUUCCUUCCCCAGUAAGGAAUAUUAGUAAUUAACAGCCCUGGGAAAAGAAUGCAUUCCCGGGGCAG
rnacentral:lncRNA from 1 species